rnacentral:lncRNA from 1 species
GGGGUUGCCCUUUUGAGUACAAAAAGGGAAUGUCAUGUCUGGUACACCUUGAUGCUGGGGGAUGUCAAUAUUUUGGGCCUGGUUUCUGCUCUGAACAGAAAAUUGCAUCUGCUCCCAGAGCUGAUGUUAGGUGUGAUUAGGUGUUAGGUGUGUUAGGUGAUUAGGUGUUCAGGGUAACUGUGUGUGUACUGAAGGGACACUCCAUUGGAUUGUUACUCUUGAUUAAUAGAAUUAUCAUAAGAGAAAACUUAUCUCAGUGCAAUCAUCCCAUUAUUUGAUGGGAGAGCCUGUUCCGUGCACAUAACUCUAAAUAAUGUAGGGGCUAAAUCUGAAUCUAAGGCUGAGUUUACAGGAAAAGUGAGCAUCUGCAUGGCAAUGGAUGAGAUUUCUCCAGGUGGGAAGUGUGGGGUGGUCCAAGAAGAGGGCCAGGCUCACAUUCUCUUUUCAUGCUGCACUUUCUGCUUUUCCUGCUCUGGAUGGGGCAUUGAUGUGAUCUGUUGCAGGUAAGCCUCUCCUCAAAGGCUCUAAUCUUAGGUUCAAGACUAGUUAAACACUUGCAAAAGUUAUGAAAGACAGCACUUACUAUAACAUAGCUUAGUGCAGAGAACUAAAUAUUGUGCUUUUUAUAGAUUUUAUAAUUCUUCCAAAGAAUUUCCAGUAGAAAUCUAAGAUAUGAGCAAUAGUAGCACAAGGAAUAUGCUCCUCAGUGCUUGUAUGGAGUAAAUCCAGGUGAGCUGCAGCUCCAAACACUUGAGGAAAUUGGGUAGGUGUGCUGAAGCAGAAAGCACUGACAAUUUUGGCAACUCCUAAAAUGCCACUGAGUGCAGCAGAAGAGAGCAGAGCAGCUUUCUUUCCAGCCAGCUUGUCUUCCGUCUCUUUCUUUCUCACAGCUGCCUUUGUCUACUGUCUAUGCAAAUACCUACACUACAUGCCUCAUGAGUUUUCUGGCCUUUUGUGUUUUUCCCAGAUACCUCAUUUUUCCAGGGAGGUUGUGGAAGUGUUUGUGCCUGUUUGUGUGCACAGUGAACAAUGCCAUGGACUACUCAGUGCAGUGAUAAAUUGUGCUCACUCCCAUGUCAGCACUUGGCAAUUGAUGGCACUGGUGGGGUUGAAGCCUCACAGCUCAUGGUGUGUUCUCAUUCUCUGUGUGCUUUUCCUGGUGCACUGA